rnacentral:rRNA from 1 species
AACGUAGGUUCCGAGCGUUAUCCGGAUUUACUGGGCGUAAAGCGCGUUCAGGCGGUUUGGCAAGUCGGGCAUGAAAUCUCUCGGCUCAACCGGGAGAGGUUGUCCGAUACUGCUGGACUUGAGGGCAGUAGAGGGUGGUGGAAUUCCGGGUGUAGUGGUGAAAUGCGUAGAUAUCAGGAGGAACACCUGCGGUGUAGACGGCUUACUGGACCAUAACUGACGCUGAGGCACGAAAGCGUGGGUAGCAAACAGG